GAUGAACGCUAGCGGCAGGCCUAAUACAUGCAAGUCGGACGGGAUUCAGGAGCUUGCUUCUGAUGAGAGUGGCGCACGGGUGCGUAACACGUAUGUAACCUACCUUUAUCAGGGGGAUAGCCUCUCGAAAGAGAGAUUAAGCCCGCAUAAAAUCACAGCACAGCAUUGUGUAAUGAUCAAAUAUUUAUAGGAUAAAGGUGGGCAUGCGGAACAUUAGCUAGAUGGCGGGGUAACGGCCCACCAUGGCGACGAUGUUUAGGGGAUCUGAGAGGAUGGCCCCCCACACUGGUACUGAGACACGGACCAGACUCCUACGGGAGGCAGCAGUAAGGAAUAUUGGUCAAUGGGCGGAAGCCUGAACCAGCCAUGCCGCGUGCAGGAAGACGGCCCUACGGGUUGUAAACUGCUUUUAUACGGGAAUAAACCCAGAUACGUGUAUCUGGCUGAAUGUACUGUAAGAAUAAGGAUCGGCUAACUCCGUG
rnacentral:rRNA from 1 species